GACGAACGCUGGCGGCGUGCUUAACACAUGCAAGUCGAACGGAAAGGCCCUGCUUUUGUGGGGUGCUCGAGUGGCGAACGGGUGAGUAACACGUGAGUAACCUGCCCUUGACUUUGGGAUAACUUCAGGAAACUGGGGCUAAUACCGGAUAGGAGCUCCUGCUGCAUGGUGGGGGUUGGAAAGUUUCGGCUGUUGGGGAUGGACUCGCGGCUUAUCAGCUUGUUGGUGGGGUAGUUGCUUACCAAGGCUUUGACGGGUAGCCGGCCUGAGAGGGUGAACGGGCACAAUGGGACUGAGAUACGGACCAGACUCCUACGGGAGGCAGCAGUGGGGAAUAUUGCACAAUGGGGGGAAGCGUGAUGCAGAAACGCCGCGUGCGGGAUGACGGCCUUCGGGUUGUAAACCGCUUUAGCCUGUGACGAAGCGUGAGUGACGGUAAUGGGUAAAGAAGCACCGGCUAACUACGUG
rnacentral:rRNA from 1 species